AUUGAACGCUGGCGGCAUGCCUUACACAUGCAAGUCGAACGGCAGCGGGGGAGAAGCUUGCUUUUCCUGCCGGCGAGUGGCGAACGGGUGAGUAAUACAUCGGAACGUGCCCUGUAGUGGGGGAUAACUAGUCGAAAGAUUAGCUAAUACCGCAUACGACCUGAGGGUGAAAGUGGGGGACCGCAAGGCCUCAUGCUAUAGGAGCGGCCGAUGUCUGAUUAGCUAGUUGGUGGGGUAAAGGCCUACCAAGGCGACGAUCAGUAGCUGGUCUGAGAGGACGAUCAGCCACACUGGGACUGAGACACGGCCCAGACUCCUACGGGAGGCAGCAGUGGGGAAUUUUGGACAAUGGGCGAAAGCCUGAUCCAGCAAUGCCGCGUGUGUGAAGAAGGCCUUCGGGUUGUAAAGCACCUUUGUCCGGAAAGAAAUGGCUCUGGUUAAUACCUGGGGUCGAUGACGGUACCGGAAGAAUAAGGACCGGCUAACUACGUGCCAGCCGCCGCCGUAAUAC
rnacentral:rRNA from 1 species